UUCUUUGCGCAGUGGCAGUAUCGUAGCCAAUGAGGUUAAUCCGAGGCGCGAUUAUUGCUAAUCUUUCUUUCUUUCUU
rnacentral:snRNA from 14 species